GAUAUGGAAGGUCACGUAAUGUAACGCAAUGUAGUGGUGAAGUGUAACGCUGUGUUGUCUUUCAGGAACCUUCUUCGCUGGGCCCCCAGGACCUGCUGGCCCAACUGGUCUUCCGGGAUCACCAGGUACAGAGGAGUCCAAUUCACUGUCUAUACCAUUUGUGUUUUUAUCAUAGUCAAUUAGGUCGAAACAGAAGUUAUGUGCACUCAUCUUGUAAAUCAUUUUAUUGUUUCCUAAUGCAAACCAGGACCCCAGGGUUACCAAGGUAAGCAAUUUUAAAGGCAUGUCCAUGCCAAAGGGCUGGAUUGAUGUCAUAGUAGGCUAUGAACUGGUUCAGUCACAUAUUAUUUACAUGGCAGACUUAGUGAUAGACUUAAAAUGUCAACCUUAACGCAAUUUGAUCUAUGUUUCAGGUGACCCAGGUCAGCCCGGUUUACCAGGAGUUCCCGGAGAUCCCGGUGUCGGUGGGUGGAUCAAAUAUUUAUCAGAAGCAUAGUUAAACAUUCAAGCCUACACUUGUGGCUUGGGUUACAACCAACAUUUACUUCUGAAUUUACUUGAUCCUUUUGGGUAUAUGUUGUAUUGUUCAUUGUAUUGUUUUCUCCACAGGUUUCCCUGGACCCCAGGGACGACCUGGAGGUCCAGGACCAGAAGGGGACAGUGGACUUCCAGGGCCCCAAGGUCCAGAGGGCCCCGAGGGGCAACAGGGUCCAAAAGGUGAGGCUGGAGUUCCAGGUGCUCCAGGAAUCCCUGGCUACUCCAGUGGUGGAUCAUCCAGGAGUUCCCCUGGAGCACCAGGUCCACCUGGACCUCCCGGGGCCCCCGGCCAUGAUGGGCCACCUGGGUCUGGGUCUGGAACACCGGACAUUCUUCAAUACAUCACAGAAUACCUCAAGAGUGAGUGAGAUGAUCUGAUCUUUCUUCUUACCUCCAAUGAAAAGGAGUGGGGCUAAGCUAUGUCCAUCCAAAGACCGUUACAAAAUUUGAUAGCAUACGUGACCUCCAUGGGACCAUAUGGUCAACAAAACAUGAUUUAGUUGUUGUUUGCAUAGAUGAGGCUAACUAAAAUGGUGUCUCAUGAUCUAAAACCUUUUCUACGCUACUGUUUAGCAGUGCAGUAACU
rnacentral:lncRNA from 8 species